UGGGGGAAUCUUCCGCAAUGGGGCGAAAGCCUGACGGAGCAACGCCGCGUGAGUGAUGAAGGCCUUAGGGUUGUAAAGCUCUUUUGUCCGGGACGAUAAUGACGGUACCGGAAGAAUAAGCCCCGGCUAACUUCGUGCCAGCAGCCGCGGUAAUACGAAGGGGGCUAGCGUUGCUCGGAAUCACUGGGCGUAAAGGGCGCGUAGGCGGCCAUUCAAGUCGGGGGUGAAAGCCUGUGGCUCAACCACAGAAUUGCCUUCGAUACUGUUUGGCUUGAGUUUGGUAGAGGUUGGUGGAACUGCGAGUGUAGAGGUGAAAUUCGUAGAUAUUCGCAAGAACACCAGUGGCGAAGGCGGCCAACUGGACCAAUACUGACGCUGAGGCGCGAAAGCGUGGGGAGCAAACAGGAUUAGAUACCCUGGUAGU
rnacentral:rRNA from 1 species